UUGAAAAGCAAAAGAUAAAAUUUGCGUUUCAAUAAAGUAUAAUAAUAAUGUAUUUAAAUAAUACAGUCUGAUCUAUUAUUUGGCAAAUCUUUUUAAUACAUGGACCGUUACAGCUGCAAAAAUUUUGAAAAACAGUUUUGUUCUUAUUGGAAUUGUGUAAUCCGGUCCUGUAUCGCAGUUGCCGCGAGGGUUGGGACCCUCCGUUUUAGUUCCGGGUAUAUAAACAGGCGCGGGGCGAGCGGUGGUCAGACUAGCUUGAGGUUCCAUCGGAGUCAGUUGUGUUCGGUUUCCGCGGAUUACAGUUAUCUGCAAAAUUAUUCUAAGUCCUUAAAAGUAAAGUUCAGUGAUCUUGGAGUUAAUUUAAAGUUCUUCUAUUUAAAUUAAACCCGUUAAUUCCGAAGAAUUUAUUUUCUAAUUGGCCGUUAAUUAAACUUAAUAUUCCUAAAGUCAAAAUUGAGUGGUUAAUUUGGAAGAUACGACUUUUUCUAUUUGUUUUAAAAUUUAUUCAAAGUUAUAUCAAGCUAAGUGAUAUACAUCAGUUACUACUUUUGCGCCGUAACUAAACUUUAAUAUCUUGAAAACUCCGCGAUGGCCGCGGACACCGACAUCGUUGUACCAGAAAUUUUUUUAUUUUCCAUUUUUGACGUGAGAGCCCGAGAUUAGUGGCGCGGGGGAAUAAUGAGUUUGGCGAUUCAACAUCAAGUUGCCAUCAGAUAAUGUAAGAUUAGAAUCGACGUUUGAAAGUUCGAGCGGAUUCCUGUUGGUUCCUGUGUUCAACAUUCCACAACAACAAGACUGGCCGAUUGCUGACUGCAGAAGAAAUGCUCCUGGUACGCAGUGCUGAAUAACCACCAUUUCACCAUAAGAACAAUUUCCAUGCGUGGGUCCAAUAUUCGAGGUAACCGUUGUCAUUAUUAUUAAUCCGCAUAAUAGACGAAGUAUAAUUUAAGUGUGCAUAACAUUUGCAGUUUCUAAUGAUAGAAUUCCCGAAAAUUCUUCAUUUUGUUUCCUACGUAAUUCUAGAUUUCAUAGAGUUUCUAUAAAAAUGUGAUUUGAUAUUUUGCUAAACACGCGAAUCGGCCUGUUUUGUUAAUUAAUUUUUGGAAAUAUUAUCAGAAUCUAUAACUAAAAAUUGUAAUUGUUCGUGAAGUGUAUUUCUGACUAUGAAGUCUAAUUUUAUUGUUGUUCAGUACACCACCUUUCACAAGUGUUUUAUGCUCAUGCAAAUUAUGCGUAUUUUUAUAAGGAUUAUAUUAUGCGGAUUUGUAAUCCAGACAAUCCGGUUCCCCUAUGUUGUUUAUAAAAUAGUAACUCAAAAAUAGAAUACUCAAAAAUAGACAAAAUUGUAUUGACAACUCAGGAUAAUUUUUAGACGUAAAUUCGAAUCAUUAUUGUACUAUUUGCACAUCUGUUCAAUAUGGGAACCAAUCUGAAUAUCUCUGUAACUUUUAAGCAGCUUCGCGGUUAUUUAUGCUUUGCGUAAUUUAGGCUAUGCGCUCUUUUUGUUUCGACGUCAGAUUGUUAGAACUAAACCAUGCAGAUUUUGUGGACCUGACAUGACGAAAAUGACUAAUGACUGUUUCGAACAAUUUUUUAGAAAACGGUAAUUACACAAAAUGAUUUUACUCAUUAAUAUUUCUGGUCACAUAAUAAUAUGUCGAGAUUUUCAUAGUUUGAAGGUAUAAUAGGUUCGAUUAAAAUCAAAAACACACAUAAGUAGCCGUCUUUUUAUUACUUCAGACGAAUUUAAAGUACCACGUUAAUGUCGUUUAAAGAUGUGAAUCUAUCAGUUUGGUAGGACUAUCAGCACUUGUCAUGCAGUCGUAUAUCUGCUCUAAAAUAUUUUUAUAUUUUUAGUCUGGUAAAUGCAAUACUACAAAAAAUAUAUUUACAGUUUCUUGCAUCUAACUAAAUCAUUAAUAAAUUGCAAUAUGGCAACACGUUUUCUAAUUAAUAUGCUCUGUUAGAGAUUUAUACGUAUACAAUUAUUUAUUACUAGCUGUUGCCCGCGACUUCGUCCGCGCAGAAUACUUUUCCAUAAUAACAUCAGCCUAUGUUACCUCUUUAGAACGACAGCCACCUGCCAGUAAAAGUCGCGUCAAAAUCAGUCCAAUCGUAUCAGAGAUUAGCCAGUAAAAAAAAUAUUUAAAAAUUGUUAUUUUGGUAUACCUGUAUAUCGCAUGUAGUAAAAAGCGGUUAUUUCAAUAUUGCAAACAUACUCUAAUUUUGACUAUAAAUAUCGUGUAGGGACUAAAUCAUCCUUCCAAUUCAUUCUUCAACAAAUAACGCCCUUCCAUUCCUUCUUUAAAAAAUAAGAUUCAUACAGGAAAAAUGCAAAUAUGUCAUAAAUAAGGCCAUAAAUUUCAAAAAUCCCCAUAAAUUAAAAGUUUCACUCCGUUUUAUACAACACUAACUUCCUGCCAGCGACUUUGUUCGCACAAAUAGAUGCUCUUAGAUAUAGAACAUAACAUCGUUCCUAACAAAAUUUAAAAUUAACAUAAUUAAAUUCCUUGAACGAAAUUGCAAUUUACAUUUAAAUAGUAAUUUUACUUAGGUCAACUGUAAGGUAAUUUUAUUUCUCUUGUUAACGGACUUAUAUAUAUAUUUCCUUCAUGAAUCAAAUGGUGCUACAUAGCUUUUGCCAAGUCAGGUUGGAUAACAACUACUUAAAGAUAAUUAUCUGAUGUCCGCUUUUAUACUUUUCGCCAUAUUAUUAUUUUGGGAUACACAAUCAUAAGGAUUAAAUUAUUGAGCAAAUAAAUUCUAUUCAUACGAAAAUGCGAAAGAUUCGUUUGUAACAAAAAUCAAAAAUAUUGGAUACUACAGUAAUUCAGGCUUUAUACAUUUUUAAUUGGGCAAUAUUUUCUUGUAUCUAAUCAUUCGACAUCCGCAAGUUCAUCCAUCCAUCUUACAGCUUCUGUGAUUAAACACACAUGACCUCUGAUGAGAGCAAAAACUGUAGGCCUAAUUGCGACCCGUCGGCCGGUCAAAAAUAAGACAAGAUCCGACUUCCAAUUUCAACUUUCUUCUAUAGAUUGUGUAAUUCACAUUUCAUAUUUAAACAAAACCCUUUUAUGGUGGUAUUUAAGUAUUAUAUUGUAUUAUAUAUAUUGUUUCGGACCUUUCAUGUUAUUUUUGCUUUUUCUGCUUCAAUAUCCGUUCAAAAUAUCAAUAGAAAUAACAAUGAUCAUUACAUCGAAAAUCAAUUUGGUUCGUUUCUUUUAAAACACAAAAAAUACAAAAAGUGGAUACAAAGUCUUAAAAUCCCCGACUUUAAUUAAUUCAGAAUCAGAUUUUGGCAAUUCUCUCGAAACUUAUUGUAAAAGUUUGUAUUUUGUUCAUAAUUACUAUCUAGUAGGUACUUUAAUUUAAUAGUUCUCACAUGGCAUCCGCUGUGCCUUAGCAAUCCAAUAUUAGCUUCCAUAAAAAUUCUUAUUUAUUUACUCUGCUAUUUUAUCGCUAUUAUGCUAUAGUAUGACUAACCGCCAUACUCCGAGUCAUCUAAUCUUACUUAACUUAGUCCUUGGAAAUGUUUUCGGAUCAAGAGAGAUCAGAGUUACUAAGGAAUAGUUUAAAUAAUUGUUAAAUAUCUCUGAGUACGGCGGUUACAUUACGGUUAGGUUAACAUAGUUCGUAACAAUAAAUUCAGACACUUUUUUAUAAAUUUUGGAAAAUCAAUCACCAGAAAGCAACGGGCCCAAGCAAUAACAGGUCUUAAAUCAACGCUUUGUACAAUGAUAAUAUUUUACUAACAUCAUUACAUGCAUCGUGGUACCAGCAGAGAAUAACCUAGAUAUACAUAGGAUAAGUGUGUGUUUAUUGAUAUUUAGUUUAAAUAGAUGGGCAGUUUCGAUUCAAAAACCUAUUCUCAUAAUUUGAACAUCAAAGAUACAUAUUGACCCACUAUACAAUAACAGAGAUACCAACAUUGUCUUCGUUAGUUGUUUUAGGAAAUUUUCUAAAGAUAUUUCUUUUCAUUUUCCAACAAAGGGUGGAAGAAACAGUCUAUAGUGAACAGAGAAUGUAACUAAAAUUCUUUACUCUUCAUUAGAGCUAUGAUCCGUCGAGUUGUCAUAUAUUUUUGAGGUAAAAGGAUAACGCCUUAAAUAUAAUGAUAAACUGACGAAUUAUUUCAAGAAUGAAGGGGUUCGAUUUUUAGGAUCUACAAUAGACUUUUUCUUGCACUCAUUUGCGCAUAAGUUGUUAGGAUAAGGUAAAUGAUGUAUAGUCGGGGUUGGGAGACAGUAUGAAACAGCACGCGGUAGUUCUAAGGGAUCGGACUUGAAAGAUACAUCCUUUUAUUUAUUAGCAUGUAAUGUAAGUUAUUUUCGGAACACAUGCAACAAUUAAUAUAUGUACUUUUUGUUAGAUAUAAGAUCACUAACGGCCAGUAAUAGUAAUCUAUCUAUCGGUUGGCUGGGUUACUGAGUAUACAAUUAAGACAAGAGACACGAGAGUAUACAAGUUCUGUCGCUAGUGCUUAAAUCUAUCGAUGGAUAGGUUAUUGUGAGUGGUCGUAAGCCAUUGCACCAUCAAAUGGCAGCCGCCCAUUCGUAAUUGCUACACUUCGAUAUUAUGUAUUCUAACAUCUGGUAGUGGAGUAACAACGUUUCGAUACAUUUUCUAUAUGGAUUACCAAGCUCGUCAAGCUAAACGUGGUAGCAGUCUGUAAAUAUUAGUUAUUACUAUACUGACAUAGUGUUCACGGCACUAAUAUAUUGUAUAUAAUGAGGUAAUUUAGAAUUUAAGUUGUAUUAUGUAUAGUGUACUUAGGAUAAGGUUCCGCCUCUAAACAGGGGCUGGAACGGGGUGGUUUUUAGAGAGACACUUAUUCCGCCUUCAAAAAAAAAUAACGAAAAUGUUGCUAUUGGUAACAUUUACAAUGAAUAGCUACGCCAGCUAUGUAUAAUACCCGCUAUCUACGCCAGCUACGUACAGUACCCGUUUAUGUUAUUUUUAUGACCGUUGUUAUGAUUGUGCGUUAAGUGUAACAUUAACUAAUUCAUAUAAGUAGUAUAUAAGAUAGUUAAGAUUUCUAUAACGUUUCUAUUUGAAUCAAUGCUAGACGUGUAAUAAUUGCGUUAGAUAUAAGUCUAUCAAGACAUUAUAACAUCAUGGGACGUUUUAAGAACAAAAAAUAUAAAAAUAAAAAAAAAAUAAAAAAUAAGAAACGACAAAAAAAUUAAAAAAUG